AAUCUUUCACAAUGGGGGCAACCCUGAUGGAGCGACGCCGCGUGGAGGAUAAGGUCUUCGGAUUGUAAACUCCUGUCAUGCGUGAACAAGGCUGCGAGGUUAAUAACUUUGCAGAUUGAUGGUAGCGCAAGAGGAAGAGACGGCUAACUCUGUGCCAGCAGCCGCGGUAAUACAGAGGUCUCAAGCGUUGUUCGGAAUCACUGGGCGUAAAGGGUGCGUAGGUGGCGUGGUAAGUCAGAUGUGAAAGCCUGGGGCUCAACCUCAGAAUUGCAUCCGAUACUGCUGUGCUAGAGUACUGGAGGGGUGACUAGAAUUCUCGGUGUAGCAGUGAAAUGCGUAGAUAUCGAGAGGAAUACCAAAGGCGUAGGCAGGUCACUGGGCAGUUACUGACACUGAGGCACGAAGGCCAGGGGAGC
rnacentral:rRNA from 1 species